rnacentral:rRNA from 1 species
GGGGGGGGGGGGGGGGGGGCCGGGGGCGGGGGAGGCGGGCGGGCGGGCGGGGGGGGUGGGGCUCUGAUGGUAGCGGCGGACGGGUGAGUAACGCGUGGAUAGCCUACCUAUAAGACUGGGAUAACUUCGGGAAACCGGAGCUCAUCCCGGAUAAUAUUUUGAACCGCAUGGUUCAAACGUGAAAGACGGUCUUGCUGUCACUCAUAGAUGGAUCCGCGCUGCAUUAGCUAGUUGGUAAGGUAACGGCCUACCAAGGCAACGAUGCAUAACCGCACUGAGAGGGUGAUCGGCCACAAUGGAACUGAGACCCGGUCCAGACUCCUACGGGGGGACGCAGUAGGGAAUCUUCCGCAAUGGGCGAAAGCCUGACGGAGCAAAGCCGCGUGAGGGAUGAAGGUCGUCGGAUCGGAAAACUCUGUUAUUAGGGAAGAACAUAUGUGUAAGUAACUGUGCACAUCUUGACGGUACCUAAUCAGAAAGCCACGGCUAACUACGUG